rnacentral:rRNA from 1 species
CCUACGGGAGACUGCAGUAGGGAAUAUUGCGCAAUGGAGGCAAGUCUGAAGCAGCAACGCCGCGUGGAGGAUGAAGGUUUUCGGAUUGUAAACUCCUUUUGUUAGAGAAGAUAAUGACGGUAUAUAACGAAUAAGCACCAGCUAACUCCGUGCCAGCAGCCGCGGGAAUACGGAGGGUGCAAGCGUUACCCGGAUUCACUGGGCGUAAAGAGCGCGUAGGCGGGAUAGCAAGUCAGAUGUGAAAUCCUAUGGCUUAACCAUAGAACUGCAUUUGAAACUGUUAUUCUAGAGUAUGGGAGAGGUAGGUGGAAUUCUUGGUGUAGGGGUAAAAUCCGUAGAGAUCAAGAGGAAUACUCAUUGCGAAGGCGACCUGCUAGAACAUAACUGACGCUGAUGCGCGAAAGCGUGGGGAGCAAACAGGAUUAGAUACCCUGGUAGUC